rnacentral:rRNA from 1 species
AUUGAACGCUGGCGGCGUGCCUAACACAUGCAAGUCGAGCGGUAACAGGUGUAGCAAUACAUGCUGACGAGCGGCGAACGGGUGAGUAAUGCUUCGGAAUCUACCCAAUGGUGGGGAAUAACCAGCCGAAAGGUUGGCUAAUACCGCAUACGUCCCACGGGAGAAAGCAGGGGAUCGCAAGACCUUGCGCCAAUGGAUGAGCCGAAGUCGGAUUAGCUAGUUGGAGGGUAACGGCCUACCAAGGCGACGAUCCGUAGCUGGUCUGAGAGGACGACCAGCCACACUGGGACUGAGACACGGCCCAGACUCCUACGGGAGGCAGCAGUGGGGAAUAUUGGACAAUGGGGGAAACCCUGAUCCAGCGACGCCGCGUGUGUGAAGAAGGCCUGCGGGUUGUAAAGCACUUUUAGUGGGGAUGAAAUGUUCAGGUUAACACCUCUGGAUUUUGACCUAACCCACAGAAAAGCACCGGCUAACUCUGUGCCAGCCGCCGCGGU